rnacentral:rRNA from 1 species
GUGGGGAAUAUUGGGCAAUGGGCGAAAGCCUGACCCAGCAACGCCGCGUGAAGGAAGAAGGCCUUCGGGUUGUAAACUUCUUUUACCAGGGACGAAACAAAUGACGGUACCUGGUGAAUAAGCCACGGCUAACUACGUGCCAGCAGCCGCGGUAAUACGUAGGUGGCGAGCGUUAUCCGGAUUUAUUGGGUGUAAAGGGCGUGUAGGCGGGACAGCAAGUCAGAUGUGAAAACCAGAGGCUCAACCUCUGGCCUGCAUUUGAAACUGUUGUUCUUGAGUGUCGGAGAGGUAAUCGGAAUUCCGUGUGUAGCGGUGAAAUGCGUAGAUAUACGGAGGAACACCAGUGGCGAAGGCGGAUUACUGGACGAUAACUGACGCUGAGGCGCGAAAGCGUGGGGAGCAAACAGGAUUAGAUACCCCGGUAGUCC